UGCACAAACAAAUGCUACUUUUCUCAAGUUAGCGGGACCUCAGCUUGUGCAGAUGUUCAUUGGAGAUGGAGCAAAACUUGUUCGUGAUGCUUUCCAGCUGGCAAAAGAGAAAUCACCUUGCAUAAUUUUCAUUGAUGAAAUUGAUGCUAUAGGCACAAAGCGUUUUGAUAGCGAAGUUAGUGGGGAUCGAGAGGUCCAACGAACUAUGUUGGAGUUACUUAACCAGCUCGAUGGUUUUAGCAGCGAUGAUCGGAUUAAGGUGAUAGCAGCAACAA
rnacentral:misc_RNA from 1 species